GAUGAACGCUGGCGGCGUGCCUAAUACAUGCAAGUCGAGCGAACAGACGAGGAGCUUGCUCCUCUGACGUUAGCGGCGGACGGGUGAGUAACACGUGGAUAACCUACCUAUAAGACUGGGAUAACUUCGGGAAACCGGAGCUAAUACCGGAUAAUAUAUUUAACCGCAUGGUUCAAUAGUGAAAGACGGUUUUGCUGCCACUUAUAGAUGGAUCCGCGCCGCAUUAGCUAGUUGGUAAGGUAACGGCUUACCAAGGCAACGAUGCGUAGCCGACCUGAGAGGGUGAUCGCCCACACUGGACCUGAGACACGGCCCAGACUCCUACGGGAGGCGGCAGAGGGGAAUCUUCGGCAUGGGCGGAAGGCCUGACGGAGCAACGCCGCUUGAGUGAUGAAGGUCUUCGGAUCGUAAAACUCGGUUAUUAGGGAAGAACAAAUGUGUAAGUAAAUAUGCACGUCUUGACGGUACCUAAUCAGAAAGCCACGGCUAACUACGUG
rnacentral:rRNA from 1 species